rnacentral:rRNA from 1 species
AGGCUACGAUGGGUAGGGGUCCUGAGAGGGAGAUCCCCCACACUGGUACUGAGACACGGACCAGACUCCUACGGGAGGCAGCAGAGAGGAAUAUUGGACAAUGGGCGCAAGCCUGAUCCAGCCAUGCCGCGUGCAGGAUGACGGUCCUAUGGAUUGUAAACUGCUUUUAUACGAGAAGAAACACUCCAACGUGUUGGAGCUUGACGGUAUCGUAAGAAUAAGGAUCGGCUAACCCCGUGCCAGCAGCCGCGGUAAUACGGAGGAUCCAAGCGUUAUCCGGAAUCAUUGGGUUUAAAGGGUCCGUAGGCGGUUUAAUAAGUCAGUGGUGAAAGCCCAUCGCUCAACGGUGGAACGGCCAUUGAUACUGUUAAACUUGAAUUAUUAGGAAGUAACUAGAAUAUGUAGUGUAGCGGUGAAAUGCUUAGAGAUUACAUGGAAUACCAAUUGCGAAGGCAGGUUACUACUAAUUGAUUGACGCUGAUGGACGAAAGCGUGGGUAGCGAACAGGAUUAGAUACCCUGGUAGUCCACGCCGUAAACGAUGGAUACUAGCUGUUGGGAGCAAUCUCAGUGGCUAAGCGAAAGUGAUAAGUAUCCCACCUGGGGAGUACGUUCGCAAGAAUGAAACUCAAAGGAAUUGACGGGGGCCCGCACAAGCGGUGGAGCAUGUGGUUUAAUUCGAUGAUACGCGAGGAACCUUACCAAGGCUUAAAUGUAGAUUGACCGAUUUGGAAACAGAUCUUUCGCAAGACAAUUUACAAGGUGCUGCAUGGUUGUCGUCAGCUCGUGCCGUGAGGCGUCAGGUUAAGUCCUAUAACGAGCGCAACCCCUGUUGUUAGUUGCCAGCGAGUCAAGUCGGGAACUCUAACAAGGCUGCCAGUGCAAACUGUGAGGAAGGUGGGGAUGACGUCAAAUCAUCACGGCCCUUACGCCUUGGGCUACACACGUGCUACAAUGGCCGGUACAGAGAGCAGCCACUGGGCGACCAGGAGCGAAUCUAUAAAACCGGUCACAGUUCGGAUCGGAGUCUGCAACCCGACUCCGUGAAGCUGGAAUCGCUAGUAAUCGGAUAUCAGCCAUGAUCCGGUGAAUACGUUCCCGGGCCUUGUACACACCGCCCGUCAAGCCAUGGAAGCUGGGGGUGCCUGAAGUCGGUGACCGCAAGGAGCUGCCUAGGGUAAAACUGGUAACUAGGGCUAAGUCGUAACAAGGUA